GAUCCUGGCUCAGGACGAACGCUGGCGGCGUGCUUAACACAUGCAAGUCGAACGGGGAAUUGUGCUUCGGCAGAAUUCCUAGUGGCGAACGGGUGAGUAACGCGUAGGCAACCUGCCCUUCAGACGGGGACAACAUUCCGAAAGGGUGCUAAUACCGGAUACGAAGCUUCUGCCGCAUGACGGAAGCUUGAAAGGCGCUUCAAGGCGCCGCUGAAGGAUGGGCCUGCGUCCGAUUAGCUUGUUGGG
rnacentral:rRNA from 1 species